rnacentral:misc_RNA from 1 species
ACGAGUUCGAAAGUCGGUCGACCGUGCUGGCGGAGACGCACGUGCACGUCGGUCGCGAACCAUCCACACACCCGUGAACCUAUGGCCGGGGGUCUCAGAUCCCCGGCACCAAAUAUCACACUCUGUUCGUAAAGGAAUGUAAACGUGAUAACGUAUCUUAUAA